GAUGAACGCUGGCGGCGUGCCUAAUACAUGCAAGUCGAGCGAACGGACGAGAAGCUUGCUUCUCUGAUGUUAGCGGCGGACGGGUGAGUAACACGUGGAUAACCUACCUAUAAGACUGGGAUAACUUCGGGAAACCGGAGCUAAUACCGGAUAAUAUUUUGAACCGCAUGGUUCAAAAGUGAAAGACGGUCUUGCUGUCACUUAUAGAUGGAUCCGCGCUGCAUUAGCUAGUUGGUAAGGUAACGGCUUACCAAGGCAACGAUGCAUAUCCGACCUGAGAGGGUGAUCGGCCACAAUGGAACUGAGACACGGUCCAGACUCCUACGGGAGGAAGCAGUAGGGAAUCUUCCGCAAUGGGCGAAAGCCUGACGGAGCAACGCCGCGUGAGUGAUGAAGGUCUUAGGAUCGUAAAACUCUGUUAUUAGGGAAGAACAUAUGUGUAAGUAACUGUGCACAUCUUGACGGUACCUAAUCAGAAAGCCACGGCUAACUACGUG
rnacentral:rRNA from 1 species